rnacentral:rRNA from 1 species
UAAUACGAAGGGGGCUAGCGUUGUUCGGAUUUACUGGGCGUAAAGCGCGUGUAGGCGGGUCGUUAAGUUGGGGGUGAAAUCCCGAGGCUCAACCUCGGAACUGCCUUCAAAACUGGCGACCUGGAGCAAGAUAGAGGCAAGUGGAAUUGCGAGUGUAGAGGUGAAAUUCGUAGAUAUUCGCAGGAACACCAGUGGCGAAGGCGACUUGCUGGAUCUUUGCUGACGCUGAGACGCGAAAGCGUGGGGAGCAAACAGG